GCCCGUCAAAGCCCCACCAACCUCCCCAAUCACCAACAAACCACACACCAAAACAUUUGACAAGACAAGUAGCUGCGAGCGAACCUCAGCCAAGGACGCAAUAGAGACAGUACUGUAAAGGAAACUUUGAAAGAUCAUUUUAACCUAAGCAAAAAAAAGCAUGGAUUAAACCCUAUACCUCUUGCAUCAUGGUUUAGCAAGACUACACAGCCAAGAAGCCCCCUAGCCUGUCCCCCCGAAUGCAGGUGAGCUAUUUUUGAGCAGUUUAAAAGAACUAACUCGUUUCUGUAGCAAAAGAAUGAGAAGACUUGAAAAUAGCGGUGAAAAGCCAAACGAACCUGCCGAUAGCUGGUUGCCUGCCAAAUGAAUCUAAGUUCAGCCCUGGAAUUACCAUAACAUUCCUCCAAGAUGUCACCCUUAUUUCCAGAACAUAGUCAGCGAGGGUACAGCCUCACUGACAAAGGAUACAACCCAAACCAGAGAGAAACACCCCUUACAACACAACAUGUAGGCCUUGAGUCAGCCACCAAAAAUUAUUACGUCACAGCAACGUUCUAAAAAUACCACAAACAACAAGGAUCUCCUACCCCCCCCCACACCAGGCCAUUCUAUUUUAUUAGAAGAGACAAUGCUAAAAUUAGUAACAAGAAUAAAUCUCUUGAACAAAACUCUUGCCCCAAACUUCAUCAGACCAAAAAAGGACCAUAUGAAAUCUACCUUCCCACUACAUAAAACCAACUGUAACCCCAACGCAGGUUUGUUCACAAGAAAGACUAAAAGCCACAAAAGGAACUCGGCAACCAAUCUCUCCAACUGUUUACCAAAAACAUAGCCAUUAGCCAAACAAGUACUAAAGGUAACGCCUGCCCAGUGAGGGAAACACCCUUAAACGGCCGCGAGUAUAACCGUGCAAAGGUAGCGCAAUCACUUGUUCUCUAAAUAGGGACCAGUAUGAACGGCCACAUGAGAGAGAGACUGUCUCUUGAGGCAAGUCAGUGAAAUUGAUCUCCCUGUACAAAAGCAGGAAUAAAAAAACAAGACAAAAAGACCCUGUGAAACUUCAAACUAACCAUCAACCCUAAUGGUGGUAACUUUUAGUUGGGGCAACUCAAGAAAAACUAAACAUCUUUUACAUUACUAAGACCAACAAGACUAAGUAAGACACACCGCCGACCCGGCAUAACCGAUUAAAGAACCAAGCUACUCCAGGGAUAACAGCGCCACAUUCUUGACGAGUCCUUAUCAACAAGAAUACCUACGACCUCGAUGUUGGAUCAGGGUAUCCUGAUGGUGCAGAAGCUAUCAAGGGUUCGUUUGUUCAACGAUUAAUACCCUACGUGAUCUGAGUUCAGACCGGAGCAAUCCAGGUCGGCCUAUAUCUGUUUAACGCUCCUACCAGUACGAAAGGACAACUAGAAGCAAGGAAAACCCUAACGGGGCACCUUAAUAAAGUCAUGCUGCAUAAAAACUAAAGCUUAAAAUUACACCCCUUCGACCCAAGACAAGGGACUUUCCCACAAACUUUACCUCGUGGGGCUCAAUAAUU
rnacentral:rRNA from 1 species